rnacentral:lncRNA from 1 species
AUGUUUAUGACAAAAGAUUUUCCCUUUGGGAUAAAUGAAGGAAAGAAAGGAGUCCCCGCCCCGAGAGAGGACAAGAAAGCGCCCCCUGUAGAGGUGAGUGUGCCUGCUGUAACAAAGACCAGGAGGGGGCAGCACUGCUCCUCCGCAGCUUCACCCAGGCCGUGCUGCGGGGACAAUUCACGGGGAGGUGGGGAUGCUCUACAGGCAUCUGAGACGUCGGUGACAGAAAGAGCGUUUUUAUGGUUUUCGUGCAGGAUCCUGCUGGCAGAAAAAGGAGGAGUCUUGAGGAGGACCCGGCAAGAGGCCUGUCCUCCUCAACAGCCAGUCCGGAACCUGACGGAACAGGGGACCACGCGGAGCCCCGAAAACCCGAGCUGCUCCGCCAGCGACUGUUCCAGCAGGUGUAUGUUCUGAUGGAGGGACUGGUGGACUCUUUCUGUGACCUGCAUGAUGAAUGCCUCCACAACCAGUCACACAGCCAGAAAGCAUAAAUGUCCUUCUUCAUUCACACGACCCUCUUAUUCUUUUUUUUUUUUUUUAAAGCUCCACGCCUUUUUUUUUUUUUUUUUUUGCCUUCAUAAGCGACCCAUCUGUAUGCGAGCGCUCUAAAUUCAGCCUGAUCAUACAGAGCUGAACGACUGACUCAAGGGCAUUUGGUGACAAUGGAUGUCAAAUCGACCAGGGAUGUCAUCUCCCAUUACACCCAACACUGGGUGAUUAGAGAUUUCAACAAGGUAAAAAACAGAAAUCAAUGGCUGGAAAAGGGUCUUUCUUCACAUCCAUCUCUCAC